CUUUUAGAGCAAUGACAUGUAGCAAUUUAGUUCAGGUCAUACGGUGUAUGAGUCUUUUAUCAUUCAGGAGAGCGGUUACAACGGACGUCCCUUGAAUGAAUAGAACGAAAAUAGAGUUGUCGGUUAGAAAGAAAAGGUACAUUUAAUGAAAUGGCGGCUUCAUCCUUCGCCACUGUGAAUACUGCUCCAUAUUAUAGGAACGAUCAAAAUUCAGACGAGGAACGCUUACGACAAAUUUUGAAUGACAUUUCACGAGUGCUAAAAAUGGAGGAAUUUGAUGAGGAUCUUCAAGAAUCCUUGAAAAGAGAUUACCCAGAUUACAUCAAAAUACUAGAAAAUCGUGAUAAGGACUUACUAAAAAAGGAUUGUGCUAUUGUCUU